rnacentral:lncRNA from 1 species
UUGAUCUACAAGUCUACAGUCAAACGUAUAAAGCUUUUGAUUUAUUUAUAUUUUGUUCCUAGGUCUGAAAUAACAACAAGAGAAAGAAGGUGGCUUUUGACAGAACGAAAACCUAUGCAUGCCCUAGAAGACAACAAAAGCACAAGAUAACAAAAGCAUCAAAGCAUAAACCGGCAAGGAACAAGAAGCAUAGUAAGCCACCGCUGCUACAGUUCCGCCACCUCCAGCUCCUUGGCCGCCACCGCUUUGAUCUCCUCCGCCGAGAGUACCGUAAGGAUAAGGAGGAGUGUAAAAGUAAGGAUACGGAGGAGAAUAAUACGUAGACUGUGGUGGUUGGUUGCAACAGCCUGUUGGAGGAACAGGAGGGCAUUGAGAACGCGGCGGUUGGGGUGGUGAAGACGGCGAAGGCGGUGGAGGAGGAUUACCAGAUGGAGAGUAGCCUGAAGAGGAAGGUGGUUGAGGCGGUUGGUUACAUGGGUAAGGAGAGCAGAGACCAGAGUUUGAAUCCGAAGCUGAGAUUAGAUUGACAAAGCUGAGAAGGGAUAUAUAAAAGAUAAUAGAGAAAGAAGCUUGAAGAGACAACAUGGUGAUGACUUAGCUUGAGAAGAUGAGUUUGGUCUGUGGUUUGCAAGCUGAGAUCAGUAUUAUAGUAAAAAUAGCUGAUUUAUUUGCCUGUGUUUCGUAUUAUCUGCCGCAUGGCAUAACACAUGUCGUAAGUUUUGGAGAAUUUCUGAAGAAACGUUUGUGUCUUUUUAAUGGAUGCAGACAAAAAAUGGUGUGUCAUGUAAUGAAGUGGAAUUUUGUAUAGCUGUACCAAACUCAUCAAAAAAGAAGAAGAUGUGUUAUAGGUAACUUGAGUUUCAAGAUGAGUGUGAAAAGACGUGUAGUCAGUGACUUAUGGACUAUACAUCAUCGAGUAUGAGUAUACUCAUCUAAACCGGAGUCUACCAAAACUAUCAACCAUGAUUAGAAGUGAAGCAAAGAAAAGACUAAUGAUACAAUUAUAAUUUGAUAGACAGAACCAAACCAAACUAUGGUUUUAAGUUCAACAUGUUAUUCUCCAAAACUAAAUACCCCAAGAAAAUCAAGAACAUCGUCCAACUCGAGAGACAAAAAGUAGUUAUCAUCUUGGCUUUUGUUUUUGUCAUUUUAAGCCCUUAGCUCAGGGAAACUUGAGUACCUCCAUCUUCCGUCAUGUAAAUCGGUAAUCCCCCACAAGAUAAUGGAUCCUAAAAGAAAAAAGAAACUAACAUGAUAAAUCAUUUUGACUGCAAGUACAAUCUUAUCUUAGAUAAACUAAAAAACUGAAGACUCCUGACUAAACCACAAAACAAUCCAUCACAUAAACUUUCUCUAGUCCCAGACUUGAGAGAGUUAAUUAACCAUGCUUCUUCAAAAAGCACUUCAUAAGAAAACAUGACAAUCAACAGACGAAAUGAAUUCUCCUGCAGAAAAACAUCAUUAGACUAACAUCUCUUUUUCUGGUUAAGAAGAAAGAAAAAAGGAAAGAAAAAAAGAAGACUAACAUAUAACUUUCAUCUAAUCCAGAAAAUAUAGCAAUGUCAUGUAGUGUAAUAUUCUCGAGAGACUUUUCAAAAAAAAAAAAAAACAAAUAUAGAAUGAGUAGAAUCAAAGACAAAACUCGGUUCAUAUAACAAGAAAGCAGCAUUUCCAAAUGGUGCUCUAAGAGACUACAUAUAUGUUCUAGGAAUGUACUUGUUUGUUUACCUCCUCACAGAUCCAAAAACACUGAGAGUGCGGCAAGGCUGGAGUAAAACCUAGCCACGUACUAGCAUGACUUGUAGUAGCUUAGCUGCUCCAACUCUAAUACUCAGGUUCAUGAUAAUCUAAUUUACUCCAAUAAUAUUCAGCUCAAGAAAAGUUCUUCAAGGUCCCCAACUCGAAGCUACGAAGAUUACAUCAGAUAUGAACACUGAUUCUGGAUCACAUGGUGGAUCUUGUUAAUCUUGAACACAGAGGAUCAAGGAAAAUUAGUUGUUCUACUCAUAGAGAAUCUGUUUCUUCAAAUCCUCCCAGUGUUUAGGCCCAUCAGGGUGGCGGUUUACAUAGUGAGACACAAAAUGUUUGUCCGAGCACCCAAGCAAACUGCUAAUUGCCUUUACUUUACCUUCCAUAAACGGAAUCAUCCCCAAUCUGAGCUUCAUCCGCUGGAGAGUAAACACUAGACACGAAGGGAAUGUCACAAAGAUCGAAAACGGAUAACCAAGCUCGUUGACAAUGUAGUUAACCUUCGCUUCCAGGAGAUCAGACGCUUGACACAGGAUCUGAGGGAAAGCGUUCACCAUAUUUCGGACAUCCUUCUCAUUCAGACCCAAACUCACAAGGAAAUCGAAUCUUUGUUGUAGUUCUGAUCCUCUCCCACGGAACUUCUUGACAGCUCGCUCCAUCUCCUCCGAGUUCUGGUCGUAUCCGAGGUUGAUCAAGAACUGUGUCUUCAUUAACCUCGACGUUUCCUCUUCCCCUGUAGGAGGUAGCGGCUGCACCUUUAAACCCAUAGUCCAUUUUUUCAUCACCUCUGGGUUUUCUUGUAUGACUUGACAAAGCCGCCUAGUCCCAACGCUCAGUCUAUCGAGUAAGGUUCUGGGUUUCUUCAAAGAACAUGCACCAAGCCAAGAGGAGUGAGAACGAAAAAUCUUACCAAUCUCAUCACACUCCAUCUUGAUCUUCUUCAGGAACAAGAAGCAAUGCCUUAGAUUCAAAACACAUUUCUUCACCUCGAUUUCCGGGAACUUUAGAAAAAAAGAAGAGAGUUCACUCUUAGAUGACCCAAGCUUGGUUAGAAACCCACCUAGAAACAGAGUCCAUUCCCCUGAAUCCUCAAAAACAAGUCUUGGGUGCUUCUUGAGUAACUCACGUAACUCACUGUCAUUGAAACAUAAAUCUCUAAGCAAGCUUAACACCCUGUGCAUAGACCUCCAAUCAUAAGACUCAUCCUCCUCCUCUGACAAGUUCUCAUUAACCCACUCAACCCCAACCCCCACCGUUUUUAGAAUCUCUAAAGCCUUACCCACUUCAACGUUCAUGUCCCCAACGAGUAUCCUCGGGCUACACACAAUAAUCCUCGAUACAAACGACUUACUCAACCCCAAAUCCUCAAAAGCCUUAAUCUUUGAAGCUAAAACCCCGGUCUCAUACCCAAAAACUCCCCUAGCUUCCUUAAAGAUCUUCCCCAUCUGCUUCAAACCAAUCCCAUAGAUCCAAAAAGUAUUGUAAUUCUCAAGCAGAAAAGCAUCUUCAUUCAAAAACAUCUUAUCACUAGGAAGCAGAUGAUUGUACUCCGAUGGCUUCAAGCCUAGACUCUCAAAGAAAGGCUCGAACUCGUUUAUGGGAUGGAACCGUAGAAACCUAGUGAUCGACAGAGCGAUGUCAGCAUCAUCAUCGGGAGUGUCACAAUCCAGCUUCUCUAAGAGAUUAUCGUUGAAAAGAGGCGCGUUCUUGCUCAUACUCUCUGCGACUAGAAACUGUAACCCUCUCGUGAUGUAGAAGUAAUCUAACAUCGCGGCCUGAGCCUUUCUCUGAUUCUCGAUUCGUGUUCUAACGCUGUGUUUCUCGCCGGCGAUGGCGGUGGCGAAAUAUCUCGGAUUGAAGAAGGGUUUAAUAUGAGUUUCUGGAGGGGCCUGUAAUACCCGUUUGAUAAGGGAGAAGAAGAAUCUAGGGUUUCGAAUUCGAGACAUUACCUCCUUCCUUUCGAGUUGCGGUAGUUCUCUCUGUUCUGAAAGAGACACUAGACUAAGGCCUGCGCUUUUGACCUGAACCGGACCACAAUAGACGGAAGAGACAGUAGUGCAGGCCAGCGGUUUUGAUCUGAACCGGACCACAAUUAUCCGGUUUUGGUUCAUAUUCGAUUUAAGUUCUAAACCGAUCGACACAUUUCUAAAAAGUAUUUUGGUUUUUGAUUCGGUUUGUUUAUUUUUUAUAUACGAAAGGACAAAUCACUUAGACAAUCAGGUUUUGACAAAUGUAAUUAUUUUACAAAAUUUCAAAAAUUAAGAAAAUCCAGAUUAAAACACAUUUUAUUGAUUUCCAAUAUUUUUCAAACCGUAAAAGAAAAAAACAAGUUCCUAUAUUUUCUCAGAGUAUCAAAAGUACACAUGAACACGUUCGAUUAUAAAGAUCAGUAACUCCCAAUAUCAACUGCUCCAUCUCGUAUAUAACAUUCAUUCAACUAUAUUUUUUUCUAAUAUUUUGUUUUUGUCUUCUUCUUCUCUCAAUUGUUUCGUUUUUAGUUUUGUUUUGUUUUGAGUGUGGUAACGAGUUAUUCUACUAUUGCUCUUAGCACUUUUCUAUAUUCUGCAGAUUAAUUUUCACAGAAAGAUGGAACACCAGACUUCUCUUCGCAAAAUUACCAUCAGAAGAUUGAAGUUAUUCUAUCUUUGUUGUUUGUGAAUGAGUACCUAUCCUUUAUGGGAAUCUUUUGACAAGAGACAGUUUGCUUCUAAUGAAUUUGAUUUGGUGCAGAAACAAAGGAAGAGACAAAACAGGUCCAAUGAUGAGAAGUGGGUCAGAAGUGGUGAUCGUCCCUUCACCAAAGCCAAGAGAAGCAACCGUGUAGUGCUUGAUCAAAACGAGCUUCAAACUUAUGCUAGUUUGGAGAAGAUGUUGCAUAAGGCAAUUCAUGCUAUCCGACAGCUCAAAAAGAAGGGAAACACCAACACUUCUUCGGCACCAAAACAGCAACGUAAGUCUUCUUAUCUUUCAAAUUCUGAUUUGAAAACUAAUGAGAUUUCUUUUGAUAAAAGCAAAGCUGUGAAACCCACAAGCAAAGCUCAUUUCCACCAGGUGCUUCAAAUGCCAUAGGAUCGGUCAUUAUGCUAACAAGUGUCAAAAGCAAAAACCGUUGGUGACUUUGGAGAAUGAGAACCUUGAAACCGAGCCAGAAAAGGAAGAGCCUUUGCCAAUUCAAAUACCGGACCAAACUCAAGGUGAGCAUUGUGCUGAUUAUGGUUCUUUUGCUUAUAAUCCUUUUCCUUUUAAUGUUUCAGAUUUAAGGACAAAUCUUUUUGAAGAGGAAGGGAAUGAUGUGCCCUGGUUCGUGGAUCAGUCCAUUGGAGCCAACCAGCAUGGAGAUCAGGACGUUCUGAACAAUUUGACCGAGGUUCGUUCAUCCGACCGUACCGAUCAGACUGACCGAGCCGUCCCGCGUGCGUCCCGAUUGGAGCUUCGGCUGGAACCACGUCCAGACGACCUAACCGACCGAACCACAGCCCGUCUUCCCCGACCAACUCGACAUUCUAAGACCCACGGUCGAGCCAGACUUAGCUUGGGUCGUGAAGAAACCAAAGACGGACAUGCAUUCUUAUCUGGCGGACCAUCCGGACAGUCCCGCAAGCGUCCUUAUCUUUACUCCAUGCAUCCAUCUGGUUCGGAUGAACCUGGACAGUAGCCGAAGGGUUUCCUUGACCAGAACGUUAACCGAAUGGUCAUCUUUGACUAAUCAGCAUGGAAGACUGAGUCUUUGACUCAUUAAUAAUAUUCUAGUCAAUGUUUCUAUUUUCUAUGCCUUGUUUUCCCACAAUUCUCUUUAAUUCUCUUUGACUACAAAUAGUAUAAAUAUGUAGUCCCUUUGAUCAAUAAAAUCAGUUCAUUUUGGUUGUUUAUUUUCGAUUCUUCUUUUCUCUGAGUGAGAGAGAGAGUUCUUAGCUAGUUCAUCGGUUUGAACCGGCUUGUUGAUUUGGUGGUCAGCCAAUCAUCUUUUGUGUCGUUUGGUGGUUAGCCAACACACCUUCAUCGUUUCUUAGGUGGUUAGCCUUAGAUCUUGGGUAUAUCAAGAGCCAUUCCGCAUCUCUUGACGAUCCUUUCAAUCCAUCUCAGUUCCAGAAGUGCCGUUUGCCUUCUCGGAUCAUAUCCAACACCCGGCCAAAGCCAUCCUUCCCGUUUUGGGCGUAUCACAACUUUUAUUGCAGAGAUGGUUGCCGGAGGAUACAGCAACCGAGGCGAACUCGGUAAAUAAGAUCUUGCCGGAGGAUAAAGCAGAUGGUGUCACCUCCAAAGAGAUUGUUGCUGUCAUUUCCACCGAUCACCAACCGAGCCUCGCUUCCACCGAUCAACAACCGAGCCUCGCUUCCACCGAGCCAAGCGAUCCAGUUUCAGAACCGAGCCUGGUUGUAUUGGACAAGCGUGCAAAGAGUAAACAAGCGAAGAAACCUGCUCCCACUGUGAGAUCUCCUUAUACGGCAGAGAAAAAAAAAGAUAAAGUGGCAGCCUAUAAUCCAUUUCCGCCAGUAAACAAAGAUAAGUUGAAGGAACUCGCUGAUUGGUUGAAAACUGAUCCGUAAGUGAUUGCUUUACCCAUAAUAGCUUGAUUUAGUCGUCCAAAACUGAUUGCUUUUUUGUUUGCAGUCAUUAUUUAACUAAGACCGAGGACAAACCACGUACAUCACCAACAAGGUGGUACCACUUCCUCCGGACAGCCAGAGGAUGGCUGGAAGACUGCGUAAGUCUUCUGCACACGAUUUAAGUCGUCUACAAAGUCGUCCAAGUAGACUACUUUCCAGACGACUUAAAGAUAAAUCGUCUGGAAAGUCGUCUACUUGGACGACCACGUAGACGACUUAUAUUUAAGUCGUCUGGUAACUUCUAACUUGUUAUAUUUAAUAUGCAGCAUAUAGAUGAUUGGAUUAAUGUGCUAAGGCAGAGGUAUCAGGAGAACCCACAAGCUUUCAGGAGCGAGCGAAUGUGCUUCCUGGAUCACAACUUUUCCCAGUCUUGGAGAGAGCAGUAUCAGCUCUUCAAAACAUCGGAACCUGAUCACAAAGGUUUAGGAAGAGUUCUACCUGGUGGGGCGUCGAAUUUUUAUGACGGAUCAAUACCUUCAUUUUGCCAAUCAAACAAGAAGUGGGGGGA